CUAAUAGGGCAACAUAUAGGCUUCAUAUCAAAAGAGGGACACCGUCAAGUGUAGGUUAUUUUAUAUUAAACUGUCCACUCUGAUCGGUGUGUUAGGCUUUAAUAUUGUCACGGGGGUUCUUUCCCUGACCAAUGUUGAUAUUAUCUGCUGUUUACACAGUAAAUUAACAGGUAAAAUCUCAAUGUCUUGGACCUAUUAUCAGAGCUAAUCCUCUCUCGCUCUCUCUGUGUGUGUAAGCUACAUAUUUCACCAGUUUAGAAGAAUAGGGUAAGAACCCUUUUGAAGAGCUGCCAUGUUGUGAAUAUUUCAUAUAUAUAUAUAUAUAUAUAUAUUACAGCUUUUUUUCUAUCAUUCUUCAGCCUUUAAUAUUUAGUGUUUAUGCCUGCACUCGAAUGACUUAAGCCCAAAUGUCUUAAACAUGUCUAUACGCUCUAGCGUAUUUAACAUGUCUAUCGCUGAAGAGUCUUUAACAUUUCUAUAAGCUUGAUAAGAGCCAUGUUGUGUGAAGUGUUUCUCUUGGGGUUGGUAUCACGGACACCGAUUUUUAGGAUAGUCCUGGACUGAAAAACGAUUUGAAUGGAGAUUCUUGGCUUAAUCUGUGUCCGGGAAACUGACCGUUACCGAAGAACCACGUGGUUUGAGUCUAACUGUAUAUCUUCUAAGUGCUUAUCUUAAUAACCAGCGUUGAUGUCUUCGUAAACUAUGACACGCUGGCCAUAAUAUGACCCACCUGUUUAUCUGUAUGUAUGAAGAUGAUGCAUCCUAGCCAUGCUUCUCUGAUGUACAGAUAUGUCCUUAUUUGGUAAAACUUCCUAUUGAUACCUUCUUCACAGUGCAUUAUAAGUGCAUUUAUAGUGCCUUAUGAGCUAUAUAUAAUGCACGACAUAGACAUACUGGAAGUGUUACGCCUUUAUUUAUUACAAAUGUCAUAUUUUUUUCAAUCUGCUCUAUUUUGUGCAAGAUGUUUCUAAUAUAAUGUCUCUGUGGCAGCUCCAAAUAAAGACACCUAAAGGGUUCUUUGGUUAUUUUUGUAUAAUCCUUUUUUGGUUCCAGGUAGAACCUUUUUUUUUUGGUUCCAGAACCUUUAACCAAAAGGUUCUUUUGAGGGUUCUUUGUUGGGUGAAAUAGUUCUGCCUGGAAGCAAAACAGUUCUACAGGGACAGCAAAAGAAACCUUUUAGGAACACUUUUGAUGGAGUAUGUGUGUCUUAAUGACAGUGCUAGUACUACUGACAGGCAUUGGUAAUAUACAGAUGAUGUAGCCUCGCUGAAAUGACAGGCUUUACGGCUGGCUAACUGACGCUUGGUUUAAACAAAGCAUCUUUUCCCGCCAGCGGUCUUCCACAAUGAUUCUUCUCUAAUAUGGCAUUCCAGAAUUGGCUGAUUUGUGUUUUAAUUUUAGUUUGUUUUGUUUAAAUGUUAUGUUUGACUUUCCAUGGCUCAAUUUAUGGGUCAGUUCAAGUAUAAUAUUGUCUUUAGUCACAUAUCCAGUUUGUAGUGUGUGUGAGUGUACAUAAGUUUUAUUUGUAUUGGAAGUAGAAAUAUGUGGAAGAGAGCUGCGGUUAGCACUGUGAUCAUUCCACUACUACAAACUCCUUAUUAAACUAUGGCUGAGAUUUAAAGUGUCUAUAAUUUGUCCAGACGUAAUAUUUUAAACGUGCUACUUUUCUGUUGUGUUUAGUUAAAUCUGGGUGGGCCCAUGUAGUCUGUCUUCAUUCCAAAUGGCACCAUAUUCCCUAUAGUGCACUACUCUUGACCAGAGUCCUUGUCAAAAUGGUGCACUAUAUAGGGAAUAGGGUGCUAUUUGGGAUCACCCUCUGUAUCCUGUUCCCAUCUCCUUUCUAUUGAGGCAUGAUGUGAUUGCUGACAUCCAGUAACAUGACCAUUUACCUCAGGAAGGCUGUUUAGAUUUCAAUAAUACUAUAAACAUAUGUGAUUAAUCAUUAUCUAACUCAAAGUAAAUGUUUUUUAAAUUAAAAGAUUUAAAAGCCCUUUGAUGUAACAUUACAUCGUUUAACUUGCAAUGGAAAGAGAGCUGUGAUCUGACCUACUCUGUAAAUGCAUAUACACCUGUAUGUUAUCAGUAGUCUUUUACUCUUGGCAAGUUCAAUGGUUUGUGUUGACUGCUGUUGGAAACAGUGCUGAGAUUAAAUCCAUUUUUGUUUGUUUCAAGCUCUUGGUUAGAUUUGUCUUCUACGAAGGUCUAUAUGCGUACAAUGUGUAACAUAAUCUAUCGGGAAGACUUUACACAAUGAAUAGCAUUAAAUGACUUCCAACUUUCUAUCUUAAAGAAAUCAUAUGAUUUAUCCUGUUUAUAUAAAAGUACACACGCAGCAAAGAGCGGUAGGGAGAGAGUGGACACACAAGCCGAC
ensembl:lncRNA